GCGCAUCCCUAAACUCUUUGGGGCUUUUCGCAGAAAUGCGGAUUGAAAAAUUGGGUGAAUUCGGGGGAAGUCUAGAAAUGGAUAAUCCCGAGCCAAGCUUCGCCGGGUCUAAAGUAGCGAAGAAGGUGUAGAGACUAACAGGUGAGUCCCAACGAUAAUCCUGUACUAGCGCCCAACUCCUUGAAUAAAGGAGAUGAUAUAGUCCAAGCUUAUCCUUGGAAGAGGAUG
rnacentral:ncRNA from 1 species